rnacentral:rRNA from 1 species
UGCCAGCCGCCGCGGUAAUACGAACUGUGCGAACGUUAUUCGGAAUCACUGGGCUUAAAGGGUGCGUAGGCGGGUUUAAAGGUCUGAUGUGAAAGCCCACGGCUCAACCGUGGAAUUGCGUUGGAAACCAUAAACCUUGAGGAGAUCAGAGGUGAGCGGAACUGAUGGUGGAGCGGUGAAAUGCGUUGAUAUCAUCAGGAACACCGGUGGCGAAAGCGGCUCACUGGAUCUUUUCUGACGCUGAGGCACGAAAGCUAGGGUAGCGAACGGGAUUAGAUA